rnacentral:lncRNA from 1 species
UCAGACACUUAACCGACUGAGCCACCCAGGCACCCCACUGCCUUAGUUUUCAAAAAAAUUGUAUAGAGGAAAAAAGGGGGGGAAAAACUGAAGGGAAUAAGACCCUUUGUAGAUUAAAUCUCCCAAUGCACUAAAUGUAUAUACAAGAAUUACAAAUAUAUGGAGACUUCAUUUCCUUUUGAUUGUUUACCGUAUGUGCUGAGUGUUUUCAGUAUAAGCAUACCUUGGAAAUAUUGCAGGUUAGCCAGACUACUGCAAUAAAGUGAAUGUUUUAGCAAAGUCCAGAGAAUUUUUUGGUUUCCCAGUGCAUAUAAAAGUUAUGUUUACAAUACGCUAUAGUCUGUUUAAAGUGUACAAUAGCAUUAUGUCUAAAAAAACCAAUGCAUGUACCUUAAAAAUAUUGCUGUCAUUUAAGCUUUGAACGAGUGGUAAUCACUGGUUACAGAUCACCAUUCACCAUAACAAAUGUAACAAUAAUGAAAAAGUGUGAAAUGUUAUGAGAAUUACCAAAAUAUGACACAGAGACAUGAAGUGGGCAAAUGCUGCUGGGAAAAUGGUGCCUACAGACUUACGCAAAACAGAGUUGCCACAAACCUUCAAUUAAAAAAAAAAAAAUGCAUUACCUGCAAAGCAUGAUAAAAUGAAGCACAAUAAAACAAGGUAUGCCUGUAUGGCUAAUCAUGAAAAUUUUUUGACUGAUUUCAAAUAAAAAUAUUAUUACUGCAGGUGAUGGUCAGAUGGAAGGGAGAUAGUCCACUUAAAUUCUCUUAAGUGUUCCAAAUUGGUUUAAACUGGAUGAAUAUUUUGCAUGAAUCCCCAUGAUCACUGUGGAAAGAAUUUUUAAGAUCUAGGGAAACCUACCACCCAGUGAACCGAACAGACUAAAACUUAAAGUUAUUAAUUUAGCUUUCUGUUUUUAAAAUAGCUUAUACUAAUUUGGAAAUGAAUAAAGAAUUUUAUGAAAAUAGUCACGCUAUAUAAUAUAAAAACAGAAAAUGAAGUACAAAUCAUUUUUUAAAAAUGAGUUACAAGUUUCCUGAAGACAGAUUACCUCAGGUUUGCCAAUACAAGUGCAGAAAGCAGAAGCAGUGCAAACUGAGAUUAUUAUAUUCAAGUUCAAAACAAAUUAGAGUAUUUUUCCUAAGAUGGUUUCGUUAUUCAUGGCCAUUUUAGGUUAUCCAUACAUAUUAUACCUUCUAAUAUGCCUUGUAGAUUUGUAUUUGCUGCCUGAAAAUUGAGUUCUUUGUGACACAUUUAAGAUAAGCUUGCAUUUUUAAAAUCAUGUUUGCUUGACUAUCAUGACCAUUUUAGAACUGAUUUAUUUCCUAGGUGAUUUGAAUUGUGAAACCUGUACCAUAACACGGGGUGGACUGGUUGGUCUUGUUUUUGGUGGUCUGUACCCUGUUUUCUUGGCUAUACCUGUGAAUGGUGGCCUAGCAGCCAGGUAGGAUUCUUUUUUUUCCUCAUAAUCAUUGAAAAACUUCAAAAAUAUAUAAAUGACUACUUCUCAAGAAUUUGAAAACAGUUAUACCUCUUGGGUAUAUAGGUUCGUAACCUUAAUUUGUUUAUUGAAUGCCAGCUACAAAGCUGCAAACAUUACUCUGCCAAGCAUGAGAGCUUUCAUUAAAGAAAAAUUCCAUCACAAAAUGGCUAGCUAUAAGCCAAAUAUUGCAGUUAUUUUCUGAUGAAUUCAUAUCUAGCAAUAUAAGCUAUAUGAGCCUUCAAAGGUAAAGUGGAUAAAGGGUCAAAAAACCCAAAAGUAUGGUUUUAAAGACUAAUGAUAUCAAAGAGAAUAACCGAAUUACCUUAAUCUUUACCUAAACUAGUUUUAUCUUAAGACUUCUGGGAUUAAUAGAUAUUGUACCAUUUGAUACAACUGUCUUUUCUAGAGAAUUGCCUCAAUGUUUUCUUAUAGGUAUGAGUCAGCCCUGCUACCAGAAAAAGGAAACAUCUUAACUUACUGGACUAGAAUUUCUAAGCCUGUCUUUAGAAAGAUGUUAUUUCCCAUUUUGCUCCAGACCAUGUUUGCAGCAUACCUUGGAUCUAGACAAUAUAAAUUAGUUAUAAAGGCUCUUCAGUUACCUGAACCUGGCCUAGAAAUUCAGUGAUUGUUAAACAACUUUGUACACAAAAAUAAAACUGUAAUGUAUGAAUAAAUGUCUAGUGUAUGAAUAAACAUACAUUUGUUAAUUUAUCACAUGAGGUACAGUUCUGGGACUGAUAACAUUAAG